rnacentral:rRNA from 1 species
AUUGAACGCUGGCGGCAGGCCUAACACAUGCAAGUCGAGCGGAUGAAGGGAGCUUGCUCCUGGAUUCAGCGGCGGACGGGUGAGUAAUGCCUAGGAAUCUGCCUGGUAGUGGGGGAUAACAUCCGGAAACGGGCGCUAAUACCGCAUACGUCCUGAGGGAGAAAGUGGGGGAUCUUCGGACCUCACGCUAUCAGAUGAGCCUAGGUCAGAUUAGCUAGUUGGUGGGGUAAAGGCCUACCAAGGCGACGAUCCGUAACUGGUCUGAGAGGAUGAUCAGUCACACUGGAACUGAGACACGGUCCAGACUCCUACGGGAGGCAGCAGUGGGGAAUAUUGGACAAUGGGCGAAAGCCUGAUCCAGCCAUGCCGCGUGUGUGAAGAAGGUCUUCGGAUUGUAAAGCACUUUAAGUUGGGAGGAAGGGCAGUAAGUUAAUACCUUGCUGUUUUGACGUUACCAACAGAAUAAGCACCGGCUAACUUCGUG